GUAGGUGAACCUGCGGAAGGAUCAUUAUCAACGUUAUCCACGUACUAACCAUUAUCAAAAUGUGAACUGUAUCAAUCCUCUGAGUGAAGCAGUUGGAAGUGCGAUUUCUGUUCGUUCUCGAAAGGGAGCGGGCAGAAAACGCUGUCUUUCUCAGAGUGUACUUUCUAACUAACUAUUAACCUAUUGAACCGAAACUAAAUUACUUCUUUACAUGUGAACUGAAUUAUCAUUCUUUCCCUUUCUCUUUCGAGAGCAAAGUGAACGAUGAUCAAUUUACGAAACUAAUAAGAACAACUCUUAGCAACGGAUAUCUUGGUUCUC
rnacentral:misc_RNA from 1 species